GACGAACGCUGGCGGCGUGCUUAACACAUGCAAGUCGAACGGAAAGGCCCUGCUUUUGUGGGGUGCUCGAGUGGCGAACGGGUGAGUAACACGUGAGUAACCUGCCCUUGACUUUGGGAUAACUUCAGGAAACUGGGGCUAAUACCGGAUAGGAGCUCCUGCUGCAUGGUGGGGGUUGGAAAGUUUCGGCGGUUGGGGAUGGACUCGCGGCUUAUCAGCUUGUUGGUGGGGUAGUGGCUUACCAAGGCUUUGACGGGUAGCCGGCCUGAGAGGGUGACCGGCCACAUUGGGACUGCGAUACGGCCCAGACUCCUACGGGAGGCAGCAGUGGGAAAUAUUGCGCAAUGGGCGGAAGCCUGAUGCAGCAACGCCGCGUGCGGGAUGACGGCCUUCGGGUUGUAAACCGCUUUCGCCUGUGACGAAGCGUGAGUGACGGUAAUGGGUAAAGAAGCACCGGCUAACUACGUG
rnacentral:rRNA from 1 species